UCCUCUUUCUCUCUUUUUCGUCACUUUUUCUCCUAAACCGUCGCCAACUUCUGAGACGAUUUCCCGGCGAUCUGUGAAGAUCGAUGUAACGUUAAAUAUAUCAAAUCGAAGCCCUGGAGGUAAGAUUUCCGAUAAGACCAAUAAUGCCUUGAUCCGUGGUCGGAGACAAGAAUUAUCAUUAACCGCGUGUCGGGUGUCCAGAUCCAUUCUCUCUAUAUUUCUCUUCCUCAUCUCUGCUCUAAUCUCUUCUCUCUCUUUUUUCAGUCGAACUUCUUCUUCAUUCCAAGAUGUGUACGCCUCUAUCUACUCCUCCCCUCGAAUCCGAAUCCAGCGAAGGUGGAUCU
rnacentral:lncRNA from 1 species